AGUGGGGAAUCUUGGACAAUGGGCGCAAGCCUGAUCCAGCCAUGCCGCGUGAGCGAUGAAGGCCUUCGGGUUGUAAAGCUCUUUCGUGGGGGAAGAUAAUGACUGUACCCCAAGAAGAAGCCCCGGCUAACUCCGUGCCAGCAGCCGCGGUAAUACGGAGGGGGCUAGCGUUGUUCGGAAUUACUGGGCGUAAAGCGCACGUAGGCGGACCAGAAAGUCAGGGGUGAAAUCCCGGGGCUCAACCCCGGAACUGCCUUUGAAACUUCUGGUCUUGAGGUCGAGAGAGGUGAGUGGAAUUCCGAGUGUAGAGGUGAAAUUCGUAGAUAUUCGGAGGAACACCAGUGGCGAAGGCGGCUCACUGGCUCGAUACUGACGCUGAGGUGCGAAAGCGUGGGGAGCAAA
rnacentral:rRNA from 1 species